AACACAUGCAAGUCGAGCGGUAGAGAGAACUUGCUUCUCUUGAGAGCGGCGGACGGGUGAGUAAUGCCUAGGAAUCUGCCUAGUGGUGGGGGAUAACGUCCGGAAACGGACGCUAAUACCGCAUACGUCCUACGGGAGAAAGCGGGGGACCUUCGGGCCUCGCGCCAUUAGAUGAGCCUAGGUCGGAUUAGCUAGUUGGUGAGGUAAUGGCUCACCAAGGCUACGAUCCGUAACUGGUCUGAGAGGAUGAUCAGUCACACUGGAACUGAGACACGGUCCAGACUCCUACGGGAGGCAGCAGUGGGGAAUAUUGGACAAUGGGCGAAAGCCUGAUCCAGCCAUGCCGCGUGUGUGAAGAAGGUCUUCGGAUUGUAAAGCACUUUAAGUUGGGAGGAAGGGUAGUAACUUAAUACGUUGCUAUUUUGACGUUACCGACAGAAUAAGCACCGGCUAACUUCGUGCCAGCAGCCGCGGUAAUACGAAGGGUGCAAGCGUUAAUCGGAAUUACUGGGCGUUAAAGCGCGCGUAGGUGGUUCAGUAAGUUGGAAGUGAAAUCCCCGGGCUCAACCUGGGAACUGCUUUCAAAACUGCUGAGCUAGAGUACGGUAGAGGG
rnacentral:rRNA from 1 species